GACGAGGUGGCCGAAAGGGUUAAGGCGAUGGACUGCUAAUCCAUUGUGCUCUGCACGCUGCGGGUUCAAAUCCCAUCCUCGCCG
rnacentral:tRNA from 1 species